AACGAACGCUGGCGGCAGGCCUAACACAUGCAAGUCGAGCGCCCUUUCGGGGGAGCGGCGGACGGGUGAGUAACGCGUGGGAAUAUGCCCUUCUCUACGGAAUAGCCUCGGGACACUGAGAGUAAUACCGUAUACGCCUGUGGGGGAAAGAUUUAUCGGGGAAGGAUUAGCCCGCGUUGGAUUAGGUAGUUGGUGGGGUAAUGGCCUACCAAGCCGACGAUCCAUAGCUGGUUUGAGAGGAUGAUCAGCCACACUGGGACUGAGACACGGCCCAGAACCCCUGCGGAGGGAGGCAGGGGGAAAUUUUGGCCAUGGGGGCCAACCCGAACUAGCCCAUGCGGGGGAAGUGUGAAAGGCUUAAGGUUGUAAAGCUCUUUCAGCUGGGAAGAUAAUGACGGUACCAGCAGAAGAAGCCCCGGCUAACUCCGUG
rnacentral:rRNA from 1 species